GAUAUUAGACGCUGAAGCCCUCUCCAAAGUGUUUAUGAUCAGUUCAUUGGAGACGUAAUCGUCCUUAAGUAUCACCCCAGGAAGUGGUGUGAAGAAAACUGGAUGAUGGUUUUUAACACUGAAAACCCAAACGUCAGUGAAAGUGCAUCAUUUAUAAGGAAUUUUGCUCGGAUUGUCACUAGGCUCCUGUCCAACAUGGCGAUUGAUAUUAAAGAUAAAUCCAGUAAGCGACUAUUGAAGAAAAUCUAUGAUCCCCUUUUAACAGAAGACUCAUACGCAAAUUGUAUCCUGCUUCUUUUGCUGAAUACUUCGAUUUUUCAAACCGUGAGAAGUUCAAAAAGGAAAUUCCAGGAGCUGUUACUCAGCGAGCGCAGUUAGCUAAAAAACUUAGCGUUUUCAGCAUAUCGUUGUGCUUGCUGGAUAGAAUAAGUGAAUUCUGAAAACAGUGACAGAGACUUAUUUUUAAUUAAAAAAAAAUCUUAAAAUUAUAACUUAUUUUUAGUCAUAUUUAUUCUUAA